UCCCUCAGUAAUGGCGAAUGAACAGGGAUGAGCUCAGUAUGGAAAUUGGGGCCUGUGGCCUUGAAUUGUAGUCUGGAGAUGUACUACCAACUGGGGCGCAGAUGUAAGCCUCUUGGAAAAGAGCAUCAAUGAGGGUGAGAGUCCCGCUUGGCAUCUGCAGUCCCCAGUGCACGGUGUACCUUCUAAGAGUCACGUUCCUCGGGAUUGGAGCGCAAAUUGGGUGGUAAAUUUCAUCUAAAGCUAAAUAUUGUUUCGAGACCGAUAGCAAACAAGUACCAUGAGGGAAAGGUGAAAAGGACUUUGAAAAGAGAGUUAAAAGUGCCUGAAAUUGCUGAAAGGGAAGCGAAUGGAACCAGCGUAACUUGGUGAGAUUGCUGCGUAUCAAUGUGAUUGCUUGCUGCUUCAACGUAAGUGUGGUAGUAAGUCUUGAACAGGACAUGCGUGGUGUUUCUUGCCUUGUGUGUCACUGCCAGUUCACAGCUGGGGAAAACUUCAGGGGCAUGGUAGCUUGUCUCCGGAUGGGUGAACGUGUCUGCUGGAACUCAUUUGUGGACUGAUUGGUGACUAAAUGGUUCCAUCUGACCCGUCUUG
rnacentral:rRNA from 1 species